UGAAAAAUAUCUUUUAGGAUCCAAAACAUUGAGUACUUGAUAUCAGUUGUUUUCUUUCAAAGUCUCAGUUGUUUCUCUCUCACCUUGUCGUCACCUUUGCUAUUUAAUUUAAUUGUUAAUUGUUAAUUCUUUCAACAAUUUGGUGACUCAAAGUGGCAAUAUUGAAAAUUCCAUCUGAUGGAGUCAAUUAAAUUCCACAAUCACCAUGGAACCAGUCGGUUUAUAGAAGAGAAUUUUCCAUUUUUCUGAGUCAUUUCAGUUCUUUUCUUCUUGUUGUUUUUUUCUCCUUGUGAAUUAAUUAAUUUGAUUAUAAAUGUAACAGUUUCACUUAAUUUUGGUUAAUUGUUCGGAUUUUACUUUAAUCAUGGUGUUGAUUGUUUCAGCAGAAGUGAUUGAAAUUUAUUUCUAAUGGAGCCUUUGGACCCGAUUCUUGGAUGCUACUUAGUGAUAAUUACAUGCAAGUAAAAAAAUCGACAUUGGGAGAUUCAAUUUACACUAAAUGAGAUCUCUUUGUUUUGAGAAAAGUGAAACAAGGAUAAAGAAUUAAUUAUAAAUCAAUGGUGGAACAAUUUUCUCCCUGAUUACCAGGUUAAUCUUUGAUUGUCCACAAUUGAAGAUUAUUUGUCAUCAAAAUCAUUACAACAAAUUGGAAUGAAGAAUACAUUAAAUUGUACUACUCUGAUUGAUAUAAUUGAAGUGAAAUCCAUUGGAAUAAUUUACAAAAUAAGUUGUUUAUUCACAAUCAACUGAUUAAACAUUCUUAAUGGAAACCAAAUUAAAUGUACAUUAAAUUAAUCCGAUGGAUCCAAGAACGAUAUUCUCUACCAAGAAUACUCAUGUCGAUUAGGAACCGGCCUGACAGGCAGUUGUGGAAUCGUCGGUGGUGCUGGUCGACUGAAUAACAAACAUCAAACAAUUAUUAUUAACAUUGAUUCAU